rnacentral:rRNA from 4 species
AGAGUUUGAUCAUGGCUCAGAUUGAACGCUGGCGGCAGGCCUAACACAUGCAAGUCGAACGGUAACAGGAAGCAGCUUGCUGCUUCGCUGACGAGUGGCGGACGGGUGAGUAAUGUCUGGGAAACUGCCUGAUGGAGGGGGAUAACUACUGGAAACGGUAGCUAAUACCGCAUAAUGUCGCAAGACCAAAGAGGGGGACCUUCGGGCCUCUUGCCAUCGGAUGUGCCCAGAUGGGAUUAGCUUGUUGGUGGGGUAACGGCUCACCAAGGCGACGAUCCCUAGCUGGUCUGAGAGGAUGACCAGCCACACUGGAACUGAGACACGGUCCAGACUCCUACGGGAGGCAGCAGUGGGGAAUAUUGCACAAUGGGCGCAAGCCUGAUGCAGCCAUGUCGCGUGUAUGAAGAAGGCCUUCGGGUUGUAAAGUACUUUCAGCGGGGAGGAAGGGAGUAAAGUUAAUAUCUUUGCUCAUUGACGUUAUCCGCAGAAGAAGCACCGGCUAACUCCGUGCCAGCAGCCGCGGUAAUACGGAGGGUGCAAGCGUUAAUCGGAAUUACUGGGCGUAAAGCGCACGCAGGCGGUUUGUUAAGUCAGAUGUGAAAUCCCCGGGCUCAACCUGGGAACUGCAUCUGAUACUGGCAAGCUUGAGUCUCGUAGAGGGGGGUAGAAUUCCAGGUGUAGCGGUGAAAUGCGUAGAGAUCUGGAGGAAUACCGGUGGCGAAGGCGGCCCCCUGGACGAAGACUGACGCUCAGGUGCGAAAGCGUGGGGAGCAAACAGGAUUAGAUACCCUGGUAGUCCACGCCGUAAACGAUGUCGACUUGGAGGUUGUGCCCUUGAGGCGUGGCUUCCGGAGCUAACGCGUUAAGUCGACCGCCUGGGGAGUACGGCCGCAAGGUUAAAACUCAAAUGAAUUGACGGGGGCCCGCACAAGCGGUGGAGCAUGUGGUUUAAUUCGAUGCAACGCGAAGAACCUUACCUGGUCUUGACAUCCACGGAAGUUUUCAGAGAUGAGAAUGUGCCUUCGGGAACCGUGAGACAGGUGCUGCAUGGCUGUCGUCAGCUCGUGUUGUGAAAUGUUGGGUUAAGUCCCGCAACGAGCGCAACCCUUAUCCUUUGUUGCCAGCGGUCCGGCCGGGAACUCAAAGGAGACUGCCAGUGAUAAACUGGAGGAAGGUGGGGAUGACGUCAAGUCAUCAUGGCCCUUACGACCAGGGCUACACACGUGCUACAAUGGCGCAUACAAAGAGAAGCGACCUCGCGAGAGCAAGCGGACCUCAUAAAGUGCGUCGUAGUCCGGAUUGGAGUCUGCAACUCGACUCCAUGAAGUCGGAAUCGCUAGUAAUCGUGGAUCAGAAUGCCACGGUGAAUACGUUCCCGGGCCUUGUACACACCGCCCGUCACACCAUGGGAGUGGGUUGCAAAAGAAGUAGGUAGCUUAACCUUCGGGAGGGCGCUUACCACUUUGUGAUUCAUGACUGGGGUGAAGUCGUAACAAGGUAACCGUAGGGGAACCUGCGGUUG